rnacentral:rRNA from 1 species
UCGGACGGGUGAGUAACGCGUGAGAAUCUAACUUCAGGACGGGGACAACAGUUGGAAACGACUGCUAAUACCCGAUGUGCCGCAAGGUGAAACCUAAUUGGCCUGAAGAAGAGCUUGCGUCUGAUUAGCUAGUUGGUGGGGUAAGAGCCUACCAAGGCGACGAUCAGUAGCUGGUCUGAGAGGAUGAGCAGCCACACUGGGACUGAGACACGGCCCAGACUCCUACGGGAGGCAGCAGUGGGGAAUUUUCCGCAAUGGGCGAAAGCCUGACGGAGCAACGCCGCGUGAGGGAGGAAGGUCUUUGGAUUGUAAACCUCUUUUCUCAAGGAAGAAGUUCUGACGGUACUUGAGGAAUCAGCCUCGGCUAACUCCGUGCCAGCAGCCGCGGUAAUACGGGGGAGGCAAGCGUUAUCCGGAAUUAUUGGGCGUAAAGCGUCCGCAGGUGGUCAGCCAAGUCUGCUGUCAAAUCAGGUUGCUUAACGACCUAAAGGCGGUGGAAACUGGCAGACUAGAGAGCAGUAGGGGUAGCAGGAAUUCCCAGUGUAGCGGUGAAAUGCGUAGAGAUUGGGAAGAACAUCGGUGGCGAAAGCGUGCUACUGG